AUGGCUCGAAUGAACAGCCCAACCCCUGUGGAAGCCACAUACAAGAACAUGAGAUUUCUUAUUACACACAAUCCAACCAACGUGACCUUAAAUUUAUAAAGGAACGUAAGAAGUAUGGAGUUACCACAAUAGUAAGAGUAUGUGAAGCAGCUUAAGACACUACUCUUGUGGAGAAAGAAGGUAUCCGUGUUCUUGAUUGGCCUUUUGAUGAUAGUGUACCACCAGAUUGUUGAUGACUGGUGACGUCUUGUAAAAAUUAAGUUUGGGCCGGAACCUGGUUGUUGUAUUGCUGUUCAUUGUGUUGCAGGCCUCACGGUAGCUCUUGUACUUGUUGCCCUAGCGCUAACUGAAGGAAUGAAGUGUGAAGACGUAGUACAAUGCCUAAGACAAAAGCGGAGUGGAGCUUUCAACAGCAAGCAACUUCUGUAUUUGGAGAAGUAUUAUCCUAAAAUACGGCUGCGCUUCAAAGGUUCCGAGUGUCAUAGAAACAACUGUUGCGUUCAGUUAAAACUGGGGUGCCUAAUGCUCUUGGAAGUGGAACUUGAGAUAGGACCUAAUUUGUUAUACAUAUUAGCUAACAUGUUGGCUUAGCAAGUCUAAUGAAGCUGCCAUAGGAGUACUGAAGGGCGUUUUUACCGGGCCACAAGCUAGACAGAUCUGGCAACUUCUGUGUUUGAGUUACAGUCAACCUACUUGGACACUUGGCAAAAGAUUCUUGUUGUCAACAUGUAAAAUGUGUUUGUCAUUCGUACCAAUGACCUUUCCCCAAAUCAUGUAAUAUUGAGUCAUAACUUGUUUCAAUCUAUUCCCAUGCCAGAAUCUUAUGAAUACAUAAGAAAUGUAGGAAGAUUUAGGUGCCGGAAUACGCAGCACAAUACUUGUAUAUUUUUGGUACCAUACAGAACUAAAGUCCCAGGAACUAUGAACACUCUAGACCUUGUGUGGUUUAUUCCUUCAGUCAUUGCAGACAUUGAAAGUAGGGCCUAAAUGGCUAUUUGCCUGCUCACUUUAUGUUUACAUCUCCCACAUUCACACCAGUAUACAUCAGGUUUGCUUAAC